GAGAAGAGAAGCAACCAGGAGUUUGACUGCAGCAACAAGAGUGUUUGCGGUCCUCCUCAUUACUGCGUCAGCGUCAUGUGGACAACAUGACUGUGUCUGCAGACACCACCACCAGAGGAGGAACUUUCCUAUGCCAGUGUCUACUUUUCAGAAGAACCAGAGGAAGCUGUUUAUUCCAACACUGGACCAGUUCAGUCUCACAGAUGUGUGAUGCCAGAGAGAGAAGA